UUACGGCCAUAUCCCGUUGAAAUCGGUUCUUGUACUAUCACCGAAGUUAAGCAACGCCGAGCCUAGUCAGCACGUAGAUGGGUGACUGCUUGGGAAUAUCAGGUGCUGUAAG